rnacentral:rRNA from 1 species
GACGAACGCUGGCGGCGUGCUUAACACAUGCAAGUCGAACGAUGAUGCCAGCUUGCUGGUGGCUUAGUGGCGAACGGGUGAGUAACACGUGAGCAACCUGCCCCUGACUUCGGGAUAACCGCGGGAAACCGUGGCUAAUACCGGAUAUGACGCGCUAUCGCAUGGUGGUGUGUGGAAAGAUUUAUCGGUUGGGGAUGGGCUCGCGGCCUAUCAGCUUGUUGGUGGGGUGAUGGCCUACCAAGGCGACGACGGGUAGCCGGCCUGAGAGGGUGACCGGCCACACUGGGACUGAGACACGGCCCAGACUCCUACGGGAGGCAGCAGUGGGGAAGAUUGCACAAUGGGCGCAAGCCUGAUGCAGCGACGCCGCGUGAGGGAUGACGGCCUUCGGGUUGUAAACCUCUUUCAGUAGGGAAGAAGGCCUUCGGGUUGACGGUACCUGCAGAAGAAGCGCCGGCUAACUACGUG